rnacentral:rRNA from 1 species
UGCAAGUCGAGGGGCAUCAGGAACACCGUUUGCUUUCUUUGCUGGCGACCGGCGCACGGGUGAGUAACACGUAUCCAACCUGCCCUUUACUCGGGGAUAGCCUUUCGAAAGAAAGAUUAAUACCCGAUGGCAUAAUGAUUCCGCAUGGUUUCAUUAUUAAAGGAUUCCGGUAAAGGAUGGGGAUGCGUUCCAUUAGGUUGUUGGUGAGGUAACGGCUCACCAAGCCUUCGAUGGAUAGGGGUUCUGAGAGGAAGGUCCCCCACAUUGGAACUGAGACACGGUCCAAACUCCUACGGGAGGCAGCAGUGAGGAAUAUUGGUCAAUGGGCGCUAGCCUGAACCAGCCAAGUAGCGUGAAGGAUGAAGGCUCUAUGGGUCGUAAACUUCUUUUAUAUAAGAAUAAAGUGCAGUAUGUAUACUGUUUUGUAUGUAUUAUAUGAAUAAGGAUCGGCUAACUCCGUGCCAGCAGCCGCGGUAAUACGGAGGAUCCGAGCGUUAUCCGGAUUUAUUGGGUUUAAAGGGAGCGUAGGUGGACUGGUAAGUCAGUUGUGAAAGUUUGUGGCUCAACCGUAAAAUUGCAGUUGAUACUGUCAGUCUUGAGUACAGUAGAGGUGGGCGGAAUUCGUGGUGUAGCGGUGAAAUGCUUAGAUAUCACGAAGAACUCCGAUUGCGAAGGCAGCUCACUGGACUGCAACUGACACUGAUGCUCGAAAGUGUGGGUAUCAAACAGGAUUAGAUACCCUGGUAGUCCACACAGUAAACGAUGAAUACUCGCUGUUUGCGAUAUACAGUAAGCGGCCAAGCGAAAGCAUUAAGUAUUCCACCUGGGGAGUACGCCGGCAACGGUGAAACUCAAAGGAAUUGACGGGGGCCCGCACAAGCGGAGGAACAUGUGGUUUAAUUCGAUGAUACGCGAGGAACCUUACCCGGGCUUAAAUUGCAGUGGAAUGAUGUGGAAACAUGUCAGUGAGCAAUCACCGCUGUGAAGGUGCUGCAUGGUUGUCGUCAGCUCGUGCCGUGAGGUGUCGGCUUAAGUGCCAUAACGAGCGCAACCCUUAUCUUUAGUUACUAACAGGUUAUGCUGAGGACUCUAGAGAGACUGCCGUCGUAAGAUGUGAGGAAGGUGGGGAUGACGUCAAAUCAGCACGGCCCUUACGUCCGGGGCUACACACGUGUUACAAUGGGGGGUACAGAAGGCAGCUAGCGGGUGACCGUAUGCUAAUCCCAAAAGCCUCUCUCAGUUCGGAUCGAAGUCUGCAACCCGACUUCGUGAAGCUGGAUUCGCUAGUAAUCGCGCAUCAGCCACGGCGCGGUGAAUACGUUCCCGGGCCUUGUACACACCGCCCGUCAAGCCAUGGGAGCCGGGGGUACCUGAAGUACGUAACCGCAAGGAUCGUCCUAGGGUAAAACUGGUGACUGGGGCUAAAU